UACAUUUAUCAGUAGUCAUUAGUAUAUAAAUUAUUAUAAAAUUUCAAUUCUUUAUUAUGAAAAUGAAUCCGAUUUUCAUGAUCGAUACCAUCCUAAUUAUUACUUUGUUGCUUCUAGGAGAAGGUACUUUAUGUCGGUUAGAAGGGCGUAACCAUUCGUUGACUUUAGAAUUUAAAGGAACAAUUGAACGUCUAUCGGAAGUCUUAACUAAUCUAUGAAUUUUCAAUUAUUUCAGCGAUAGAAAAGAUUAGACUAGAAAGCAGUUCCAAUAUCCUAGAAGUAUACAGGAAGAGCAGAAUUAGGGAUUAGGAAUCGAUAUCUGAGUUCUAAUCACUUGCAAAGAGGAUACGCAUUUCAACUACACUUAACAUGAUAAUUAUAUAUCCGAAGUGAAACAUAAUUACAUUGGCACUUCCUGUUCUUCGUACAAAACAUUGGAUUGUGAAAACAGAAGAGUGGUUCAAGAAGCAGUUGGAAAAUCUAACAAAAGAAUGAGCAUUGUUAGCGACUGCUCGUAGAUUAAAUGCUCUUAAAUCUUCCGAUGUUGAUGUUCUGCAACGUGAUGUUGCUAUAAAGAUGAGAUUAUAAUUUCGCUAAAUAGAUAUAUGUCCGUCGAAGAACUUUAAAUGGAAACAAAAGAGGCCGAUUUCUUUUUACAAAUUAAUUUCUUCAAAGAAAAGGUACUUCAAAGUACAUUUUUUGUGAAGUUGAAUUCAUCGUAAUAUAUCGAAGUAGUAAAGAACAUUUUCUUAUUAAAUAAAGUACAUAGCAAUAUAUACUCCUUAAAUAAGGAUUAUAUGGAAGAUCAUUUCGGUUAACUGUAAUACUACAUUUGUCUACAAAUGCUACGUUUGCUUAAUGUAUAGCUCAUCUUCAUAAUAUAUAUAUAUAUAUAUAUAUAUAUAUAUAUAUAUAUAUAUCAUAAUACAGAGCAGUAUGCGAUUAACAUUGAAUUUUUAUUACUGCAUUAUUGCGCAAUAAUAAAACGUGGGAACUCAAAGAAAAUCUUUUCUCGUAUUCAUUUUAUUUUCGUAUUAUCGAUUUUUUUGUUUUACGUAUUUCAUUCGAAGGUCAGUCAACAUUUCCUAUUACCUAUUGGAAUGAUCCGAAGAGGCCGAAAAGGAUAUGAGUUCGGGAAAAACGGAUUUCUCGAUCAAUCCCUUUUAAUGCGAUUAGUUAUUAUUUUUUCGUUACUACCUUUUGAAAUAACUCGUACGAAAUGAUCCACAUUGCGUGACUACGUCUUGCAACAAACGCUUCUGCCUCGUAUUUACUGAUUGCUCUGUACCAAAUAUUAAUAUUGAACGAAAAGGAAUUAGUUUUUUUCUUGAAAAUUUCUCAUAAUCCAUGUAUCCCAUGCGCGUUAAUAUACACAUUACUGAAUCGCUUCUAAUAGGGUUGUUCGUGCAAAAAUUACAUUUUUUUCCGAUUUCUUCUUGUCACAAUGUAGAUUAUAUCAUGGGCGAAUUGAUCGGUAUGAGGAUCCAAUUAUGCUUUAUCAUUCUCAGGGUUUUGCAGAAAUCCAUCGGCGGUGAUGACGCUCUAAAUUGUAGCUCGAAUAUAAAAAAAGGGCAGAAAGAAAAAUACGUAUGCUUAUAUCUUAUGCGCGGACUAUGAAUUAUAUAGUAUCGGUCGGCGGAAUUGUAUUAUCUAAGAUUAUCAACGAUUUUUAAAUCAUUUUUAGUACUUCUCCGCUGUACUAUAAGUUGUCGAUUUUUUUUCAAGCACCGUCCUCGUCUUUAUGUGAUCUCAUACUGUGUUCAUUAUUUGAUUGAGAAUACCUAGGAAGAGCAAGAGGAAGGUAAAACAUUUAUGCUUGACGACGAAGUUUGGAAAGACCAGAGUGACGCUGUUUUAUAAAGCUUGAAAGGGUGGUAGGAGGAAAUGUAAUUUACUUUUAUAAAAGGAUUCAAACGUGAACGGAUUUAGCUAUUGGAUGUAUGCGAUCGUGCUGAAAAAAAUUGACGGUGGCACCGGUCAAAGGGGAAUUGAAAUGAAUCUGAGGGAGAUUUAUCGUACAAAUUAAUUUCACAUACACGGACGAUCAAGAGAUAAACGGUUUCUGGAAGUAAUAACGUUAGCAGGGGAGUGAUAAUGAAGAAGCAAAUACUUCUCAUGCUGGUGAAUUCACUCAUGAUAUAAUUUUUAAUACGACCAAAGAAGUAUGAAAAGAAUUUUUUGCGUGGGAAACACGUUUGUCUGACUUUGACUGACGGAAAUCGGAAACGUGUAUAAUAACGUUCAUAAGAUAUUUUUAUAAUGAGGUAGUGUCAACAACAAAAAUAAUUUCUUUUAAUUUAAUAUUAAUCCUUCGUAAGGAGCGAUCGAUAAAAUGGAAGCAGCAGCCGCUUUUGCAAUACGCAGUUAUUCGAAAUGGAUUAUAUCAUAUGGCGAUUAGAAAGGGACAAUAAUAAUAUGUCGAAUUGAAAGAUGUUCGUCGAGCCCCAAUCCAUAUCCAUUGAAGCCUUUUCGAUUGGUUCGAUCGCGUAAUAGGAAAUUUUGAUCGACUUGUGUAAAUCGUGUUCAAAUGAAAUACAUAACAGAGAAAAAGAUGAUAUUAGGAAAAAAAAGAAUAGGACAAUUCAUCACUAAAUCGAUUUUCUUUACUACGGCGUUAUAAAAAAGAGAGAUGUGUAAAAAAAAAUUGAGCGUUAACUUAAGUAACAGAAAAAGAAUAGGAAGUAAUAUUACAAAAAAAAUGAUCAAACAACGAUCUUUGCUCAAAAUUAAUUGUUAUCGGUACAUAUUUUUAACGACAAGAACGGGAAGAAAAUUACUGAUCAAUUUUUAAAAUUCCUUAGUUAACUUCUAAUUUUAAAUUGUAAAGGACAGAAAGGUAGGGAAAAGAAGGAACGGAAGAGGAACAUAGGAGAAAAAGAAUAAUGAUACAUCUAAUUAAUAAAGAUCAAUAAAGCAUUUCAUUUCCUCACAGCUUAUGACCUUUUCGGAUCUUUCGACCGUAUAAUAGGAAAAAUUGAUCAAUCCACAUCAAGCUUGAAAACACUUUGCAGAGAGCGCCCUCGUGGUCGCUCGGUUAACCUCCCAAAACGAUGUGGAGGGGAUGAAUAGCGCAGGUCGCAGAACGAUGACAUAGCUGCCUACCAUUCCUUCGGUGGUUUUCGAACCAGUAAUGUGCGAGUGAGUCUCGUACGGUAAAUAAUCCUCAUCAGUAGACAUCAUACAUCUCAAGUGGUGUCUUUACAAGUAGUUCAAGCGGUGGAAACAAUUUCUUCGUUCUCACUAGUCAGUUAUUUAUGUCAUCAAUAUGAGGAAUACGAAACGAAAUAAAGACGGGUGCCGUUCUCGUAGCCCGGAAGUACUGGAAAGAAACCGAAUUGACGGAUAUGUGACAUAUGAAUAUUUCCGAGGAAAAUAUGCCAUUUCAAUUACACUGAACGUGUAGAUUAAACAUCCGACAUCCGAAAUGAAACUUUUUUAUUUACUUUGGCACCUCCUGUUCUUCCGACGAUACAUCUUACAUGAUUUUAUAAAGUCGGCGAGGUCGUUACAUUGAUAAUUGAAUUCAUUUGAAAUCUUCCACGUUGAAGAGAAUCUUCUAAAAUUGGCGAAAUAGCAAUAUACAUAAUUACCUGUUUUAUGCAGAAAACGCGACACUAUUGGUACGCCAUUAUUAUAACAAUCAUCGAUCUUAAUAUUGGAUUUUAAUAAACAAGCACAUUGGAUUGUCAGAGGAGUGGUUCGAAAAGUCGUCGCAAAAUCUAUUCAAGGAAAGUGCACCGUUACCUGUUGCUGAGAAAUGAUGUACUCUUCAAUGUCUCCAUAUCGAUGUAUUGCAACAUAAAUUUACCAUAGAGGAAUACGAAACGAAAUAAAGACGGGUGCCGUUCUCGUAGCCCGGAAGUACUGGAAAGAAACCGAAUUGACGGAUAUGUGACAUAUGAAUAUUUCCGAGGAAAAUAUGCCAUUUCAAUUACACUGAACGUGUAGAUUAAACAUCCGACAUCCGAAAUGAAACUUUUUUAUUUACUUUGGCACCUCCUGUUCUUCCGACGAUACAUCUUACAUGAUUUUAUAAAGUCGGCGAGGUCGUUACAUUGAUAAUUGAAUUCAUUUGAAAUCUUCCACGUUGAAGAGAAUCUUCUAAAAUUGGCGAAAUAGCAAUAUACAUAAUUACCUGUUUUAUGCAGAAAACGCGACACUAUUGGUACGCCAUUAUUAUAACAAUCAUCGAUCUUAAUAUUGGAUUUUAAUAAACAAGCACAUUGGAUUGUCAGAGGAGUGGUUCGAAAAGUCGUCGCAAAAUCUAUUCAAGGAAAGUGCACCGUUACCUGUUGCUGAGAAAUGAUGUACUCUUCAAUGUCUCCAUAUCGAUGUAUUGCAACAUAAAUUUACCAUAGAGGAAUACGAAACGAAAUAAAGACGGGUGCCGUUCUCGUAGCCCGGAAGUACUGGAAAGAAACCGAAUUGACGGAUAUGUGACAUAUGAAUAUUUCCGAGGAAAAUAUGCCAUUUCAAUUACACUGAACGUGUAGAUUAAACAUCCGACAUCCGAAAUGAAACUUUUUUAUUUACUUUGGCACCUCCUGUUCUUCCGACGAUACAUCUUACAUGAUUUUAUAAAGUCGGCGAGGUCGUUACAUUGAUAAUUGAAUUCAUUUGAAAUCUUCCACGUUGAAGAGAAUCUUCUAAAAUUGGCGAAAUAGCAAUAUACAUAAUUACCUGUUUUAUGCAGAAAACGCGACACUAUUGGUACGCCAUUAUUAUAACAAUCAUCGAUCUUAAUAUUGGAUUUUAAUAAACAAGCACAUUGGAUUGUCAGAGGAGUGGUUCGAAAAGUCGUCGCAAAAUCUAUUCAAGGAAAGUGCACCGUUACCUGUUGCUGAGAAAUGAUGUACUCUUCAAUGUCUCCAUAUCGAUGUAUUGCAACAUAAAUUUACCAUAGAGGACGCAUUACCGGAUGAGGAUCAACGAAAGAACAAAUUUAAAUAUGUUGCACUUGGAUCGUCGAAUAUUUAAUUAUCACGCGAAGCGUACGCGAAAAACCGUAUUUUCCCAGGACGUAUUAUAUUUCACAUAUCGGUUAAUUCAGCUUCUUUGCUGUCAUUUUCAGGGGUUGGAAUUGCUUCCGCCUUUAAUUCGUGUCGUAUAUCUCUAAAAUAAUGUAUCUAAAAUUCGUGUAUCACUCAAUAUUCGUAGACUGGUGAAGACUUAACUGAGUCAUUCGUUCAUUUCAAUUGUAGAAUUACCGAAAAUAAAUCAGGCAAUGCCAUUUAAAAGCAACUUUUCCAAUACGCAACAAAGUAACAAUUAAAAUGAUGUAAAUCAAGAAAAUCAUUUUCAAUUCCAAACUAUAGAAAUGAAAUUUUACAAGAAAUCUUAUACUAAUCAGUACGGCUAAAUUUUAAAAAUAUUGAUGGAGUAAACGAAUGACUAGUGGGAACGAUGAAAUUGUUUCCAUCGUUUGAAUUAUUUGUAAAGGUAUCAUUUGGGAUGUGUGAUGUCUACGGGUGAGGAUUAUUUUCCGUACGAUACCCACUUACACGUUACUGGUUCGAUAACCACCAAAGGAAUGCUAACUCCCUAAAUUAAACGAGUCCUCCCAUUAGAGGACCAAACUUCCUAAAUUUUAUAUCUCUAGCUAGAACGGUAAAUAAUUUCUUCUAUUAAUUCCAAUUAUUGUAAUUAAUAACAUUAUAUUGCAUUGAUUGCUAUAAAAUGAUUCCUUAAUUCCUAUACUACUAUAAAUUCGUAAUGUUUCUUUCUUUCUUAUCCCUAGUCAUACUUAAAAACAGUUUUCUAAUGUUACCAAAUAUUAAUGAUAUUACAAUUUCCGUACUAUGUAAUUCUUUUUGUAAAAUCUUCCGAUGAAAAAAAAUUUUUUCGUCGGAAGUUGUAUCUACUUUCAGAUUCCUUGGAAACAUUUUCUCCAAAUAUUACCCUCUCUUUUGUAAAAAAAUAUAUAUCUUAAGUUAUCGAAGAAUUCAUUUCCGUUAUUUUACAAUAAUAUUAUAUGAUAAAAAUAUGUAUUCAAAGAAAUAAUAAAAAACAUGUACUCAAAGAAAA